AACGCACCUUGCGCUCCUUGGUAUUCCGAGGAGCAUGCCUGUUUGAGUGUCAUUAAAUUCUCAACCUCUCCAGCCUUUUGGCUGGACGGGGAUUGGAUGUGGGGGUUGUUGGCCUCUUGCCUCCCUUGCCGGGGGCUUGAGGGGGGUCGACUCCUCUGGAAUGCAUUAGCUCGAGGUUGGCUUCGGGCGGUCCGUGGCGUGAUAGGUUUUUGUUACGUCUCGAUAAUUCCGUCUCGGAGCCGUGUGGCUUCGGCUUCGAAUCGUCCCUCUUGGGGGACUGACUCCAUCUUGAAUCUGACCUCAAAUCAGGCAGGACUACCCGCUGAACUUAA
rnacentral:rRNA from 1 species